ACCCACACGUGGAUGUUAACCGGGUGAAGCUGAAGCCCUGAGAGGUGGUAGCGGCCGAGUCUGUGCGCCCUUGAGUAUCCACGUCUGUCCCUCUCACCUCGAUCCCGAAACCCUGGUGAUCGUCUCCCCUUCGUUCAGAGUGCUUGCUUAGGGCACUCUUCUGCCCCGUGGAAACCGGGAUCCCUCAGGCGGUGUUUCUUCCACCUCGCCCGGUGGAAAAUCGGAAACGAGCCUUUGCUAAUCGAUUGGGCUGCACUUCUUCUUCCAAACGUUCCAAGUGACCAUGAGAAAGCAAAUCAGUUAAGUCCUCAGCUAUUAAAAACUGAGUGAUGGGCAGGAGAGAUAGCUCGACAAUUAAGAGCACUUACGGCUUUUGUACAGAACCCGGGUUCAAAUCCCAGCACUCACGUGGUGAUUCACAACCAUCAAUAACUCCAGUUGCAGGAAUUCCAAACUACCCCUUCUGAUUUCUGCCAGUACGGGGCACGCGCAUGGUGCUCAUGCACGCAGACAAAACCUUUAUACACAAAUAUUUAAAACUUAAAAACAAAAACUUAUUGGUCCCCCAAUGAUCAAGGAGGGAUAAGCAAAA
rnacentral:lncRNA from 1 species